UAACCCGGACGAAAGUCGGACUAAUACCGUAUGAUAUCCUAUGCAGGCAUCUAACUAGGAUUUAAAGGUUUAGCGGGUAAGGGAGUGGGGAUGCGUCUGAUUAGGCAGUUGGGCGGGGUAACGGCCCACCAAACCGACGAUCAGUAGGGGGUUCUGAGAGGAAGGUCCCCCCACAUUGGAACUGAGACACGGUCCAAACUCCUACGGGAGGCAGCAGCC
rnacentral:rRNA from 1 species